rnacentral:rRNA from 1 species
GAUGAACGCUAGCUACAGGCUUAACACAUGCAAGUCGAGGGGAAACGAUAUUGGAAGCUUGCUUCCGAUAGGCGUCGACCGGCGCACGGGUGAGUAACGCGUAUCCAACCUGCCCAUCACUUGGGGAUAACCUUGCGAAAGUAAGACUAAUACCCAAUGACGUCUCUAGAAGACAUCUGAAGGAGAUUAAAGAUUUAUCGGUGAUGGAUGGGGAUGCGUCUGAUUAGCUUGUUGGCGGGGUAACGGCCCACCAAGGCGACGAUCAGUAGGGGUUCUGAGAGGAAGGUCCCCCANAUUGGAACUGAGACACGGUCCAAACUCCUACGGGAGGCAGCAGUGAGGAAUAUUGGUCAAUGGACGAGAGUCUGAACCAGCCAAGUAGCGUGCAGGAAGACGGCCCUAUGGGUUGUAAACUGCUUUUAUAAGGGAAUAAAGUGAGUCUCGUGAGACUUUUUGCAUGUACCUUAUGAAUAAGGACCGGCUAAUUCCGUGCCAGCAGCCGACGG